rnacentral:misc_RNA from 1 species
ACCAAUGGCGUCGAACUAUUUUCUAAUUUUUAGGAUUAUUACAGUUUUCUUGUAACGAUUUCAUUGGUUUAACUUCUUUUGGUUUAGAGGCGCUUUAGUUACCAGUUUGGAGGUUGUCCACCUGUGUUUUCUAUGCGUAAACAAGACAAGAGACAGAAGACAGACAGAUGAGACAGAGCAAGAGGAGCAAGAAGCAAGAAAAAAGAUUGUGUAAAAAUUUGGUAGCCAUAUUGUGUCACUUUAUUGGAUUAGUUUUGGAGUGAAUAUAAGAAGAAUGUCGGCCCCAGCAACCUUAGACCAAAUUAAAACUGUGCCGUUCGACUCGCGCUUCCCGAACACCAACCAGACGCGUCACUGCUACCAGAGCUACGUGGACUACCACAGGUGCCAGAGAAUCAGGGGAGCCAACUACGCACCGUGCGACUACUUCAAGAAGGUGUUCAACGCCACCUGCCCCAACUCCUGGAUCGAAAAAUGGGACGAGCAAAGAGCCGAUGGAGUAUUCCCCGGAAACAUCUAAUUUUUUGUCCUGUUAAAUGCAUAUAUAAUCAGUAAUUAUGUAUAGUUUAUUGUAGAAUUUUUGUUAUCAAAUAUAUUACUCCAAAUGUAAAUUAUUUGCUAUAUUAAGUAAACCAUUUUAGUAAUAAAUCUGGCUGAGAUAUUGUUA